UCAGAAGCAUGCAGCCAAUGAUCGUCGACUUUCUCUAUUAGAGGGGGCGUGGCCUGAGUUCCCCGGAAGUCUGCAUGUUUGUGUUGGGCUGCGUUGCUUGUUGUCGCUUGGGGCUUUUAGACUGUUCUUUACUGCUCCUGUGCUCCAUCUUCGGUACCAGCAUGAAGGAGCCGUCCGUCUCUCCGGGGCCGACCCCAGCCCCCGUUUUUCUCACCAAGCUCUGGGUUCUAGUGGAGGACUCGGCUAAUUGCGACAUGAUCGCUUGGAACACGAAUGGACAGACCUUCUGCAUACUGGAUGAGCAACGGUUUACUAAAGAGAUCCUUCCCAGAUACUUCAAGCACAGCAAUUUGUCUAGCUUCAUUCGGCAACUUAAUAUGUAUGGCUUCCGCAAGGUGAUGAGUUUGGAGAGCGGUCUUGUAAAAUCUGAGAGCGCCAUUGAGUUCCAGCAUCCUUUCUUUAAAAAAGGGAGACCGGAGUUAUUGGAACACAUCAAGCGUAAGGUGAACUCGGUAAAAACAGAAGAUGCUCAUCUGUCCCAGGACAAUUUGCAAAAGGUUAUUAAUGAAUUAAAAGUGCUUCAAGAUGGACAAUCCAACAUGGAUUUCAAGUUGGAUACAAUGAAGAGGGAAAAUGAAAUUCUUUGGAAGGAGGUUUCUUCUCUGAGAAGGAAGCACAGCCAACAGCAGAAACUUCUUGCAAAGGCCAUUAACAAUUGAAGCUUCACAGUCCUCUUCCCCUAAAUACAGUCGCAAUAUGCUGCAGCUUACAGAAGGAGGAGUUAGUGAGGGAAAUCCAUCUUCACAAUGUCCUGGAAGCUCCACUGACAAUUACCUUGUAAUCCAUGAGAUCCCAAGUGCUGAGGAAAGCUUUGAACACCUUCCCAAGCAGUUGCCUAAAUCCAGCCUAGAAAGCCUCCAUGAUACACAGCAGGUGAUUCUAAUGGAUGAGACUGAUGUGAAUCUUCAGCUGGAGGUGGAAGAGUCUCAUUACCCAAGCAGCUCUAUCCUGGCACAGGACCAGGUUGUGAUCCCAAAUGCUUUCUUUCCAGUGACAGAUCAGUCCGUAAUUCCCAGCAAUUCAUUUGUAGUAGAAAAAUCCUUUAUUCCUAAUAGCUCUACUGCUGAUGAGGAGUUGGCUCUUGAUUUGGUACAAGACAGCGCUCCUGAGGACCCUGAUAGUGUCAUUGAUUCGAUUCUUAAUGAA